UGGCUCUCGCAUCGAUGAAGAACGCAGCGAAAUGCGAUAAGUAAUGUGAAUUGCAGAAUUCAGUGAAUCAUCGAAUCUUUGAACGCACCUUGCGCCCUCUGGUAUUCCGGAGGGCAUGCCUGUUUGAGUGUCAUGUAAACCUCAACCCCCCUGGUUUUGUAACGAAGCCGGGUGGGCGUUGGACUUGGGCGUCUGCCAGUUGGCUCGCCUUGAAUACCUUAGUGGGUUCCGACCGAAACCCCGACGGCGUGAUAAGUUUUCGCCCGAAGGAUCCCGGACUGCCCGCUGCCAACCCCAGACCUGCUUGUCAGGUCGACCCCCCCUCAUGAUCUGACCUCAAAUCAGGUAGGACUACCCGCUGA
rnacentral:misc_RNA from 1 species